ACAAGCAGUGGGAGCCGACUUGUUCGGUGACUGCGUACCUUUUGUAUAAUGGGUCAGCGACUUACAUUCAGUAGCAAGGUUAACCGAAUAGGGGAGCCGUAGAGAAAUCGAGUCUUAAUAGGGCGUUUAGUUGCUGGGUGUAGACCCGAAACCGGGUGAUCUAUCCAUGAGCAGGUUGAAGGUUGGGUAACACUAACUGGAGGACCGAACCCACUGUCGUUGAAAAGCCAGGGGAUGACUUGUGGAUAGGGGUGAAAGGCUAAUCAAACUCGGUGAUAGCUGGUUCUCCCCGAAAGCUAUUUAGGUAGCGCCUCGGACGAAUACCAUUGGGGGUAGAGCACUGUUUCGGCUAGGGGGUCAUCCCGACUUACCAAACCGAUGCAAACUCCGAAUACCAAUGAGUACUAUCCGGGAGACAGACUGCGGGUGCUAACGUCCGUAGUCAAGAGGAAAACAAUCCAGACCGCCAGCUAAGGCCCCAAAAUUAUAGUUAAGUGGGAAACGAUGUGGGAAGGCAUAGACAGCUAGGAGGUUGGCUUAGAAGCAGCCACCCUUUAAAGAAAGCGUAAUAGCUCACUAGUCGAGUCGGCCUGCGCGGAAGAUGUAACGGGGCUAAAACUAUAUGCCGAAGCUGCGGAUUUGCAAUUUAUUGCAAGUGGUAGGGGAGCGUUCUGUAAGCCGAUGAAGGUGUAUUGAGAAGUAUGCUGGAGGUAUCAGAAGUGCGAAUGCUGACGUGAGUAACGACAAUGCGAGUGAAAAACUCGCACGCUGAAAGACCAAGGGUUCCAGUCCAACGUUAAUCGGGGCUGGGUGAGUCGACCCCUAAGGCGAGGCCGAGAGGCGUAGUCGAUGGGAAAUUGGUUAAUAUUCCAAUACUUCUAUGUAAUGCGAUGAGAGGACGGAGAAGGUUAAGUCAGCCUGGCGUUGGUUGUCCAGGUGGAAGGUUGUAGGCAUGUAUCUUAGGCAAAUCCGGGGUACUCUAUGCUGAGAACUGAUAGCAAGCUGUACUUGUACAGUGAAGUGGCUGAUACCAUGCUUCCAGGAAAAGUCUCUAAGCUUCAGUUACAUAGGAAUCGUACCCGAAACCGACACAGGUGGUCAGGUCGAGUAGACCAAAGCGCUUGAGAGAACUCUGCUGAAGGAACUAGGCAAAAUGGUACCGUAACUUCGGGAGAAGGUACGCUGCCGACGGUGAUAGGAUUUACUCCUUGAGCUAUUGGCAGCCACAGAAACCAGGCCCCUGCAACUGUUUAUUAAAAACAUAGCACUCUGCAAACACGAAAGUGGACGUAUAGGGUGUGAUGCCUGCCCGGUGCUGGAAGGUUAAUUGAUGGGGUUAGCGUAAGCGAAGCUCUUGAUCGAAGCCCCAGUAAACGGCGGCCGUAACUAUAACGGUCCUAAGGUAGCGAAAUUCCUUGUCGGGUAAGUUCCGACCUGCACGAAUGGCAUAAUGAUGGGGGCGCUGUCUCCAGCAGAGACUCAGUGAAAUCGAAUUCGCCGUGAAGAUGCGGUGUACCCGCGGCUAGACGGAAAGACCCCGUGAACCUUUACUGCAGCUUGACAUUGAACUUUGAUCUUACUUGUGUAGGAUAGGUGGGAGGCUUUGAAACCGAGACGCUAGUUUCGGUGGAGCCAAUCUUGAAAUACCACCCUGGUAAUAUUGAGGUUCUAACUCUGUCCCGUUAUCCGGGACGAGGACCAUGUCUGGUGGGUAGUUUGACUGGGGCGGUCUCCUCCUAAAGAGUAACGGAGGAGUACGAAGGUGCGCUCAGCGUGGUCGGAAAUCACGCGUAGAGUAUAAAGGCAAAAGCGCGCUUAACUGCGAGACCCACAAGUCGAGCAGGUACGAAAGUAGGUCUUAGUGAUCCGGUGGUUCUGUAUGGAAGGGCCAUCGCUCAACGGAUAAAAGGUACUCUGGGGAUAACAGGCUGAUACCGCCCAAGAGUUCAUAUCGACGGCGGUGUUUGGCACCUCGAUGUCGGCUCAUCUCAUCCUGGGGCUGAAGCAGGUCCCAAGGGUAUGGCUGUUCGCCAUUUAAAGAGGUACGCGAGCUGGGUUUAGAACGUCGUGAGACAGUUCGGUCCCUAUCUACCGUGGGCGUUGGAAAUUUGAGAGGAUCUGCUCCUAGUACGAGAGGACCAGAGUGGACGAACCUCUGGUGUACCGGUUGUGACGCCAGUCGCAUCGCCGGGUAGCUAUGUUCGGAAGGGAUAACCGCUGAAAGCAUCUAAGCGGGAAGCCUACCUCAAGAUAAGAUUUCCCUAGGACUUUAUGUCCUCUAAAGAGCCGUUGA
rnacentral:rRNA from 1 species